AUAACUAGGGAGGUUUGUUAAGUUUUCUCAUGUAUUUAAAGACAUGCAGUUAAUGAAAUACUCACUGAGACAUUUCAUCAAACACCUUGUGUGUAAUUCGUGUUCUUCAAUAUCCAACAUUGUUGUUCUUGAUUGUGCAUCCCUUCACCUGCACAAAACACAGCAACACAAUUCUUAACAGUGGUAUCAGAGCAUCUCAGAUCUUACAGGACCAAAACACUUUUUUUUCAAAAUCUCAAAAAUGACAUCCAACAACUUACUUUUAAACUCCCCCAUUAUAUUCACUGGCGAAAACUACCAUAUUUGGUCAGUGAAGAUGCAAGCUUUUCUUGAAGCUUAUGAUCUUUGGGAAAUUGUUUCCGAAGACAAACCAGUAGCUCCCUUACCAACAAAUCCCACUAUGGCUCAAAUCAAGUUCAGCAGUGAGGAAAAGGCAAAGAAAUCCAAGGCAAAAGCAAUCAUCCAGAAUUCUGUGGCAGAAAGCAUUUUCUACAGAAUUAUGGCAUGCAAUUCAGCCAAAGAGGCUUGGAACAAACUAAAAGAAGAAUACCAAGGCAGUGACAGAACAAGGCAAAUGCAAGUGCUGAAUUUGAAGAGAGAUUUUGAGGCACUUAACAUGCAAGAAGAUGAAACAAUCUCCAAGUAUUCUGAUCGAAUUUCACUAAUUAUCAACAACAUCAGAUUACUUGGAGAAGACUUUCCUGACAGUAGGAUUGUGGAGAAGGUUCUUGUGACUCUUCCUGAGAGGUUUGAAUCCAAAAUCUCCUCUCUGGAAAAAUCAAAGGACCUCAGUAAAAUCUCAUUAGGUGAACUAAUGAGUGCUCUUCAAGCACAGGAGCAACGAAGAACAAUCAGGCAAGACAGAUUGACUGAAGGAGCCUUUUAUGUGCAAAAACAACAAGCUGGAAAAGGAAAGAAGUUGCCUAAUCUGAGAUUCAAAGGCAGAAAUGAAGGGGGCAGCACUAGUGAAGCUUCAAAACAAAAGAAGUUUCCUCCUUGCACUCAUUGCAAAAGAAACACACAUUCAGAAAAAUAUUGUUGGUGGAGGCCAGAUGCAAUUUGUGGAAAUUGCAAGCAAUCAGGGCACAUCACAAAGGUCUGCAAGUUUAAAACUCAGAUCCAAAACCUCAACAAGCUCACCUAGCAGAUGAAGUUGAUACACAGGAGGAGCAAUUCUUUGCUGUCACUUGUUUCUCAACAAAUGAUCCAGCUGAUACUUGGCUUAUUGACAGUGGAUGCACACAUCAUUUGUGCAAUGAUGCUGGAAUGUUCAAAACCCUUGAUGAAUCUUACAAAUCCAGAGUAAAGGUUGGCAAUGGAGAAUUUCUGGAGGUCAAAGGCAGAGGGUCAGUAAAUGUUCAAACAAGUUCAGGUAUCAAAAUCAUUCCUGAUGUGUUAUUUAUACCUGAAAUCAGUCAAAAUUUGUUGAGUGUUGGACAAAUGAUGGAGAAAAACUAUUCUCUUCAGUUUAAGGAUCAUAAAUGCAUUAUCUUUGAUCCUUCUGGAGAACAAGUGUUCUGUGUAAAGAUGAAAAACAGAAGCUUUGUUGUUGACUGGGAUAAAGUAUCCAAUCAUGCAUAUGUGAGUGCUACUCAGGAUGUUUCAAAU
rnacentral:lncRNA from 1 species